AUUGAACGCUGGCGGCAGGCCUAACACAUGCAAGUCGAGCGAGCGGCGGACGGGUGAGUAAUGUCUGGGAAACUGCCUGAGGGAGGGGGAUAACUACUGGAAACGGUAGCUAAUACCGCAUACCAUCAGAUGUGCCAAGAUGGGAGUAGCUGGUAGUGGGGGUAAAGGCUCACCUAGGCGACGAUCCCGAGCUGGGCUGAGAGGAUGACCAGCCACACUGGGACUGAGACACGGUCCAGACUCCUACGGGCGGCAGCAUUGGGGAAUAUUGCACAAUGAGCGCAAGCCUGAUGCAGCCGUGCCGCGUGUAUGAAGAAGGCCUUCGGGUUGUAAAGUACUUUCAUCGGGGAGGCGUUACCCGCAGAAGAAGCACCGGCUAACUCCGUGCCAGCAGCCGCGGUAAUUC
rnacentral:rRNA from 1 species